UACAACAAUUUUGACCAGAUAUAACAUUAAAAUAUGACAUAUUAUUAAAAACGUUAUUGAUACAUGCAUAAAAAAGAUACAGUAGGCGCCAAAUGAAAAAAGUGGGCGCGAAAUGAAAUUGACAAAAAUAAAAAAAGCUAAAACAAUAAAAAAUGGAGAAUGUUUUCUGAAUCCCUAAUCCCUUUACACACUGCCUCUCUCUCACACACACUCCAGUCAGUUCUCUCCCACUCUCACUCGCUCUUUCUUUCUCUCAGAGUCUAUCGGCUCUCUCUCCUUCAGUCCACUAUUCUUCAAUCCCUUCCAUUGAGCAGCUGAAGCACACCAUGACCGCACCAUUGUUGAAGCGAUGAGUCUCUUGUCCUUUUCCAUUGCUGUGUAUCUCUAUCGCUAGCUAGAAGCAAGAACCCAGGUGACUGUGAGUCUUCUCUUGCAGAUGGCUAGCGCAGGAGGCUUGACGGAGACGGUGACAGGGAUCGACCUUACGUGGGCCGACGAUAUCCUUCUUUCUCUGCUUUUGUUGUUGCAAAUCUGACAGUUAUGCUAAUCUACGAAGGUUAUGCUCUUAUUUUGAAUGGAUUUACUAGCUUUCACCAUUUAUCUUUCUUUUUUUGCCUUAAAUUGCAGCUACAAAUCUUUUUUCUGAUGGUAAUUUUGGACCUUAUUUUCUCUUAUGUACUCCAUUUUUAAGUUUUGUUCUUUUUUUUAUUGUGAGAUACCCAAACUCUUGAUUUCGAGAUUUAAUAUGUGAGUUAUAUUAGUGAUUUGGGGAUACUGUAACCCUUAAUUGAUAGCUUAGUAUAUGGACACACACAAAUGUACAUAUAUAAAGAUCCUACUUCCAUUUCCAAAAGGUGAAGAUAUUAUACAAAUGCAUCAAACCGAAUAAUCAAAACUCCAAUUUUUGUAGAAUUACGAAAUACUAAUUGUGUUGUUGAAGCUUGGGUUAUGAAAGUCCAAUGUUGAAAUUGCAUUUGAUGCUAAAUGGUUUGAGACAGUUGGCAGGGGCUUCAAACUGUGGGUAAUAUCUCUUUCUUUUUCUAUUAUUUAAUCUCAGUGCACAUAAUUACACUUGUUUUGUUAAUUUAAUUUCUUAUCUUUUUUGGGUUUAGCUUCUAUUAAUAUAUAUACACAUUUCCGUGCCUAUUGAUUCAGUUGAGGAAAAAAACGUUUAUCCAUGUGUAAAAUCACACCAAUGAGGAUUGUCUAAUGUCUGAUCAAUUUGAAGAAAUAAGAGUUUCUAUUUAAUGACACAUUUGAUUUAUAUAUUGUUAUUAGCUUGUUGUUCU